GAUUAACGCUAGCGGCAGGCCUAAUACAUGCAAGUCGAACGGGAUUAGUUGUAGCAAUACGACUAUGAGAGUGGCGCACGGGUGCGUAACACGUAUGCAACCUACCUAUAACUGGGGGAUAGCCUCCCGAAAGGGAGAUUAACACCGCAUAACAUUAUGAAGUGGCAUCACUUUAUAAUUAAAUCUACGGAGGUUAUAGAUGGGUAUGCGUCCCAUUAGUUAGUUGGUAAGGUAACGGCUUACCAAGACAAUGAUGGGUAGGGGUCCUGAGAGGGAGAUCCCCCACACUGGUACUGAGACACGGACCAGACUCCUACGGGAGGCAGCAGUGAGGAAUAUUGGUCAAUGGGCGCAAGCCUGAACCAGCCAUGCCGCGUGCAGGAAGACGGUCCUAUGGAUUGUAAACUGCUUUUAUACAGGAAGAAACAUCCCGACGUGUCGGGACUUGACGGUACUGUAGGAAUAAGGAUCGGCUAACUCCGUGCCAGCCGCCGCAGUAACAC
rnacentral:rRNA from 1 species